GGAAUUCCGCUAGUUCUGAACUAUUCGGGGUUGGAAAAAAAGUUCACUACUAGCAGAACUCGG
rnacentral:pre_miRNA from 1 species